GAUUAUUUUAUUUACAUGUAAAUUGAAACAAUAAAUAUUGUGCUUUGUCAUAAUUUAAAACUCAUUAUGUUGAAGUCUUUUCCAGUUGAUAAAAUUGCAAUUCAAAAACUUUUAGGUAGAUUUGUACUGUAUGGAUGGCACAGGAAGAGAACAAGAGUACAAGAACAUGAAACAUCUUAUUAUGAAUGUAUAUGUAUGUGAUCCUCAAAAAAUUAUUUUUCAAAACAAGAUAGAGAAUGAGCUUUAAAAUCCCAAGGAUCCUGCAAAAUGUCUAUUUGGUGUACUAGUCGAAUAAUAGUAUCUAAAAAUAAUGAAACUGUUUUAAAACACAUUAUGGGCAUGAGGAUGAUAUAGAGCACUUACAUAAAUACCAAAAUCAGAUAAAUAUCUCUUCAAAGUUUAUUUUGAGACUUUCUUCAAAAAUUAAACUUCAGACUGUCCAGGAUAGCAUAAUAGCAUAGGAGGCAAAUUAAAAAGAAUUAAUUUACUUACAAGAAGAGAUAUCACAAACAUUAAACUCUCUUAUGGCAUUGAUUUGAAAGAUGGGUAUAUGUACAAUGAUGAUGCAACCAGUGUUUAUUUUUGGGUUGAAUGCUUACAGAUUAUUUAUUUUUUCCAAUAUUAUUUUACAAACAACAGGGCAUACUAAUGGAUAUUCAUUCUGAAUUUAACAUUUAUGAUUUUUGUCUUAUUUUCCUUAAUACUGUGCCAAAAGGAAAUGUUAAUUAAGUUUGGCAAAUCCUUUAUCGCAAUCGAUGGAACUCAUGGGCUCAAUUCCUAUGACUUUGAACUUAUGACAGUAUUAGUAAAAGAUGAAUUUGGGAAUGGAUUUUGUACUGCUUUCUUAUUUUCAAAUAGAAAAGAUACCUACUUUAAUUUA